AAGUGAGGGAACGAUCCGGUCGGCUCUGAAAGAGCUACACACUCCCCCUCCUGAUUUUGGAGGCUGUUUAUGUACCAAUGCUGGGCAUGUGGCACUGCAGCUCGGGUUAAACCUCUCCUCACAGCUGAUGCCUGUGGAGCAGAGCCUUGGCAGCAGUGGUGCAGCAACCACAUCUGCUCAUAAGCCUUCCUGUUUUGCUUGAACCGCUCCUGGAAGGCUGGUGGCCGCCGAAGAUCUCCUUCUCCACAAGGACAGCUUUGCCAGGAGUGGUGGCUCUGGGUGGAGCAAGGAUGAGCCACUUGGACACUGAGGGAUAAUGCAGCAAAAGGACUUCGGCACUGCAGCAGUUCCUACAUCCUAAAGCACAUCUCCAGAGGCCUUCUCUCCCUCCUGUACCCACAGGGUGAGAGUCACGAAUCUGGCAGCAACAGAGGCUGAGCAGGGCAAGGAUUCAAGCCAGCCACAGGAAGAGAGCCCUGCUCAAAGACCCAGCUCUCCCUGCAUCCCUGCCCCAAACUGUCUGGCAGAGCCCAGCUUCUCCAAGCAGCUCCAUGGGAUAGCUCAAGGGAGAGAUUGAGCCAAGAUGCCCAGCUUGCUUUGGAGGCUGAAGAGCAGCAGCAAAUGUUCAGCACCACACAGCAGCCCUCUCCUGCUCACCUGGAGGGCAGAGCAGUGUUGGGGGCCCUCCCCAGCAUGCUCAGGACAAGCCCUUUGCCCAGCCCUGUCCUGCUGGUGCCAGUCUGCUGGGACCCUGGAGCAGGAGACUGGCCUCCAUUUGCUCCGUGCCUGGUUCUCUGCGUGGCCCAGGUGACAGAUGGUGGUGACAAACGAGCUGCAGGUCACUCGUGUCCCCUGUCAUUCUUCGUGGGGAGCUCUGCCUUGUGCAAGGCAAGUGGUUGCACGAUGCUCAGCGUCCAAUAAAUCAUAAGGAAUUCAUCCAUGAGGAAUUUCUCCCACUCCCUUCUUUGCAGAGUUACCGGGACCCCGUCCAACAAAAUAACAACAUUUUUGAAAGCAGAGGCAGUAAUUUACA